rnacentral:rRNA from 1 species
AACGAACGCUGGCGGCGGGGGCUUAGGCAUGCAAGUCGCGCGAGAAAGCCGCAAGGCGAGUACAGCGGCGUAAGGGUGAGUAAUAGGUAGUCAACGUACCUUGCAGACGCGGAUAAAUUCUCCGAAAGGGGUUGUAAUACGCGAUGAGACCACGGGUUCUUCGGGACUUGGGGGUCAAAGGUGGGGGAUCCUUCGGGACCUCGCGCUGUGGGAGCGGACGACCUCCGAUUAGCUAGUUGGCGGGGUAACGGCCCACCAAGGCGAUGAUCGGUAGCCGGCCUGAGAGGGUGUUCGGCCAC